UCCUCCGUAGCUCAACUGGCAGAGCAGCCGGCUGUUAACCGGCAGGUCACUGGUUCGAAUCCAGUCGGGGGAG
rnacentral:tRNA from 1 species